GGCAGAAUGGCCGAGCGGUCUAAGGCGCUGCGUUCGCGUCGCAGUCUCCGAUGGAGGCGUGGGUUCGAAUCCCACUUCUGUCA